AGAGUUUGAUCCUGGCUCAGGAUGAACUUUGGCGGCAGGCUUAAUACAUGCAAGUCGAACGGUAACGACCGGUAGCAAUACUGGGGCGACGAGUGGCGCACGGGUGCGUAACGCGUAUGCAACCUACCCUCAACCGGGGCAUAACGCCGAGAAAUUGGCGCUAAUAUCCCAUGUGUAUAUGGAGUGGCAUCUCUUCAUAUAUAAAGAUCCGUUGGUUAAGGAUGGGCAUGCGUAACAUUAGCUAGACGGCGGGGCAACGGCCCACCGUGGCGACGAUGCCUAGGGGUUCUGAGAGGAAGGUCCCCCACACUGGUACUGAGACACGGACCAGACUCCUACGGGAGGCAGCAGUGAGGAAUAUUGGUCAAUGGGCGUGAGCCUGAACCAGCCAAGUCGCGUGAGGGAAGAAGGUCCUAAGGAUUGCAGACCUCUUUUGCCGGGGAGCAACGGCCGCCACGCGUGGCGGAAUGAGAGUACCCGGAGAAAAAGCAUCGGCUAACUCCGUGCCAGCAGCCGCGGUAAUACGGAGGAUGCGAGCGUUAUCCGGAUUUAUUGGGUUUAAAGGGUGCGUAGGCGGACGUUCAAGUCGGCGGUCAAAUGGGCGGGCUCAACCCGUUCGCGCCGUCGAAACUGGGCGACUUGAGUAGGAGAGGGGCACGCGGAAUGCGCGGUGUAGCGGUGAAAUGCAUAGAUAUCGCGCAGAACUCCGAUCGCGAAGGCAGCGUGCCGGCUCCUCACUGACGCUGAAGCACGAAAGCGUGGGGAUCGAACAGGAUUAGAUACCCUGGUAGUCCACGCAGUAAACGAU
rnacentral:rRNA from 1 species